UACGGAGGGUGCAAGCGUUGUCCGGAAUCACUGGGCGUAAAGGGCGCGUAGGCGGCUCGGUAAGUAGGGGGUGAAAUCCUGCGGCUUAACCGCAGGGCUGCCUUCUAAACUGUCGAGCUUGAGCACGGUAGAGGCAGAUGGAAUUCCCGGUGUAGCGGUGGAAUGCGUAGAGAUCGGGAAGAACACCGGUGGCGAAGGCGGGUCUCUGGGCCGAUACUGACGCUGAGGAGCGAAAGCGUGGGGAGCGAACAGG
rnacentral:rRNA from 1 species